UGAAGAAUAUUGGGCAAUGGGCGAAAGCCUGACCCAGCAACGCCGCGUGAGGGAAGAAGGUUCUCGGAUUGUAAACCUCUGUCCCAUGGGACGAAGAAAGUGACGGUACCAUGGGAGGAAGCCCCGGCUAACUACGUGCCAGCAGCCGCGGUAAUACGUAGGGGGCGAGCGUUGUCCGGAAUUAUUGGGCGUAAAGGGUGCGUAGGCGGCCUUUCAAGUUGGAUGUGAAAUCCCCGUGCUUAACAUGGGAAUUGCAUUCAAAACUGGAGGGCUUGAGUGUGGAAGAGGUAAGUGGAAUUCCCAGUGUAGCGGUGAAAUGCGUAGAGAUUGGGAGGAACACCAGUGGCGAAGGCGACUUACUGGGCCACAACUGACGCUGAUGCACGAAAGCGUGGGGAGCAAACAGG
rnacentral:rRNA from 2 species